GACGUAGGGCGCGAGCGUUGUCCGGAUUUAUUGGGCGUAAAGAGCUCGUAGGCGGCUCAUCGCGUCUGCCGUGAAAACCCGCAGCUCAACUGCGGGCUUGCGGUUGAUACGGGUGGGCUGGAGUUCGGUAGGGGAGACUGGAAUUCCUGGUGUAGCGGUGAAAUGCGCAGAUAUCAGGAAGAACACCCGUGGCGAAGGCGGCUCUCUGGGACGGUACUGACGCUGAGACGCGAAAGCGUGGGGAGCAAACAGG
rnacentral:rRNA from 1 species